UUUAAGUGCAACUGUGAGUUUUCAUGUACAAUUUUAAUCGCCCGUCUUAUAAUUAGUAUUUUUGUUGUUAUGAGAUGAUCAAACAAAAAUAGUACUUUACUCGUGACUUAUCUUUUUUAUUUUUUUUAAAUUGUUCAAAUAAGACGGACGAUCAAACUUGGACGUAGAAAACCAUGGCUGCACUUAAA
rfam:Oryza meridionalis cultivar OR44 (W2112) chromosome 4, whole genome shotgun sequence.